GGGAAUGUGGCUUAGUGUAAAGUGCUUGCCUAGCAUGCAUGAAACCCUAGGUUCAAUUCCUCAGUACCA
rnacentral:tRNA from 1 species